rnacentral:snoRNA from 1 species
AGCCUGUGAUGUUUGAGAUUGUCCGUACCAUCUGAGAUGAUUAAUUUUGUCCUUGACGAUAACCUCCACUUUCUGAGGCUU